rnacentral:lncRNA from 1 species
UUGGAGCUUGCUCUCUUGCAUCUCUGCCAUUGCCAUGAGAAUAAACAAGUCCAGGCAAGUCUACCCAUCCCAGGAGGAGGCUGAGGGUCUUGUGGAGCAGAUGAGGUUCAUCCAGAUCAGAUGACAGCUGUGGAGUCCUAGAGAGGUGCAUUGAAGGUUCUGACUGCUGAAAACAGAAAAUACAAAAAGAUUAAUGGGCCCGUUACCAAAGGAUUCACUGCCGACAGACAUGAGCUGCCUGUUCCCAUUUAGUAUCUCUGCAUCUUCCUGAAGGCUGAGUUUUAUUAUUUGACUCCUCAUAUCCCUUUAAACAAUAGGCUGUACAUAAAAUAAAAUCUACUGAAUCUCAGCUGAGGCUCUAGCAUGAUGCUUUCUGAGAUAUUUCAGAAUAUUUUUCCAAGUUUAUUUACAAGAUGAGUAUUUAUAUUCCAUUUAUUGGACAUAUUCAUUUGUUUUUGUUUUUGUCUCAGGAAGACAAGAGAAGGCAUUUAUAAGCUGUCAGUCUCACCUCACAAGGUCAGAACUGAAAGUUCUGUGUAGAAAAAAUUGAAGUCCAGGAUUCAAAUAUGUUAUAUUGCUGACUUAUGACUGUGCCAGGUCAGAUGGUUUCAGCAACCUUGAGAGAUUAAGACCAUGGAUUCGUGUUCCAUGUAAUUUCAUGAGUUUUGUUCUGUCCCAUGGCUUCAGAUCAUGGUCAUAGCUCUAACCAGCUGUCUUGUAAAUGUAUGUCAUGUGUUUUAAGAAGUAUUUGCUCUGACCUGAAGCUUGGUGUUGAGUUCUUGCUACCUGUGAAUGGACCUUCUUCCCCAUCUUGGACCUAUCAAUGCUGAGCAUGUUCUCGAACCAUAGCUGGAAAGGCUAAGUCUCUUGGCACAAGAAGUCUUGUCUACCUGGUUGAACCCUGACUGUCAGAUGGUAUGCCUAAGCUCGAUGACUUUCCAUCAUCUUACUGAGCAGAUGUAAUGUCAGGCCCUAAACCUUCCCCCAAACUUAUUUGCACAGCAUUGAAUAAGAUGUCAUGAGCCUGGCCAGCCUAUCCUCAGCUACAGCCAUGGACAGCACCUCCUGGAAUGUUUGGCACCAUUUGGAAGAGGUCAAACAAGUAGAUAUGGAUACAUUUCAAAUAAAACAAUUGUCAGGGAACCAAAGAGCUACCCAAAAGAUGGACUUUGAACUUUUCCUCUGCUGGAAUUCAUUGAGAGAUAAUACAGAUGAAAACAAGUAGGCCUUUUUAUUUAAAUACAAAUAGUGAGGUGGGACAUGCCCUAGAUAUUAAAAUAUACCAGUAAGCUGAAAUAAGUAAGUAUUGAGGUACAAUUGUGAAAAAUGGACAGACACACCAAGAAGAGAUAACCUUGAUAUAGACUUUGAUAUUUAUAAUUGAUCUAUAAUAAAGGAGGAAUUACAAAGUCAAUAAAUGGAGUUGAAAAUUUUAGUAUUUUAGGAGAAAAGAAUUGACUUAGAUAUUCCUCCCAGAGUAUUUUACAAAAUAGUUUCCGAAUGGAUAAGAUGGAUAUGAGAGUUAUGUGUACAAAAUGAAACUUAAAACAUCACAAGGAAUUGUAGAAGGAUUUCUGUCUAACCUCUACAUGGUAAAGGACUUUUUUUUUAACAUAAAAACAAUGGGGUAAGAUCAAAUAGAUUUAACUAAUAAAAAUGUAAAACAUCUGUAGAUUUUAAAAAAUCAAUAUUUAUCUUCAAAGACAAACAAUGAAAGAAAUGGUUAUCAAGGAGGGAUUCUGAGAAUAUAGAAAUGACAGUGGCAUAGUUUUUAAAUCUCCCAUAAUUCCUACAUAAAACAGAUGGAGCAAUUAGACAGCCAAAAACUAUAAAAUCCAUGGACAACAUUUACAAGGUUAAGUGACAAAGUAUUCUCACAAACCCUAAAAUACAAGCAGAUGGGGCAAACCACCAGCAGCUUCAAGAUCUUCAAGGUGUCAGUGUAUGUGCCAGAAGAAGCUGAGAGAGGAAGGGGGAAUCUGACAGAUUUGAGAAUAGGCCAACCCCAAAACUGGGAAGCAAAGCAGGGUCUCACGAGAAUAGCAGUUGAACCUAGGAGGGAUUUUACUCAAUUGUAUUAGUCAGGGUUCUCCAGAGACACAGAAUCAAUAGGAUGGACAGGUGGAUAGAUAGAUAGAUAGAUAGAUAGAUAGAUAGAUAGAUAGAUAGGAGGAGAUUUAUUGUGGCAAUCAGCUCACAUGAUUAUUAUGGCUCAGAAGUUCCACAAUACGUGGUCUGCAAGCUUUAGGCCCAGGGGAGAUGAUGGUGAAACUCCCAGUCCAACACCAAAGGCCUAAUAACUGGGGAGGCUGCUGGUGAAAGUCCCAGAAUCUAAAGGCCCAAGGACCAGGAGCUCUGAGGGCAGCAGAUCACAAUGUCCCAGCUCAAGAAGAGAGAGAGAAUUGUCCCUUUCUUCACUUUUUUGUUCUAUCAAGUGGAGCCUCAAUGGAGGCUCACCCCCAUUGGUGAGGGCAGAUCUUUCCUCAGACUGCUGAUUAGAAUGUGAAUCUUUUCCAGAAACACCCUCAUAGACACACUUAGAAAUAAUGUUUCACCAGCUAUCUGGGCAUCCCUUAAUCUAGUCAAGUUGACACAUAAAAUUACCCAUCACACCAUUCCAGUCAUAGUGAGUGCAGGGAGGUUUGUAAGGAGUUCUGGAGAGACCAGAGCAGUCUUGUCUUUACCUUGCCAGCUCUUGAAAGGAGCAGUCAGGGCUCCCCCUGGGAGGGUUCUCAGGAAUCAUAGAGGUGGUGGUGGUUUUCGCAUUGUUAUUCUGAGGCUGUUGUGUGUAUAAAAUGGGAUAAUGCAAAUUAAUAAUUUAUUGAAUAGUCUAUUAUUUCCUGUGUACUUGACAACCAGGAUUUUGGGUAUAGAAGAAAGGAAGUACAGGUGUCCUAUAGAUUAAGUAAAAAUCUUAUAGUACUGAAAUUAAACUGGAAAGUCCGUAUGAAUUCAUGAGGUGUGUGUGUGUAUUCAGUUCUGCCAGAAUAUAACAUAUGCGUUCCUAAAAAAAAAAAAAA